ensembl:lncRNA
ACCAUUCAGUUUUCCAUAGGGGAUUUUAGAACCACUUCAUAUAAGAUAAAGAUGGUGAUACAGCAUUGAAAAAGACCCACCACAUCCCUCAGGCCAUCCGGUGCAUGGACAUCUUGUGCCAGUGUGAUCCAGCACGAGAGUCAGUUGUAGAGGCUACAGCCGAUCGAGCAUGUGGACAGACAGUUAAGCAGUCCAGAUGAUUUCCGUAGGGUGUCCUAUCCAACUCUACUUACUUCUUAUUUGGACUCCAAUGGAAACAUUGAAGUUUCAGGCAUCUCCACCAUGGCACAAUUCCAGAAUGUUCUCACUGAGGUGCAUCUUGUGGGCUAAAUGUUUUUCCCAUACAAACCACAAAAACUGUUUUGUUUUACGAAUGCAUCUGUGGUACAGUACAGACAAUCCGACAACCACUGUUGGUCCUCCUUAGUGAUCUCGUGACUCAGACGGUUAACUUUCCUCUUGAGAAUUAGAAUCAGAAAUACAGUCGUAUAGCUCACCGCAAGACUUCACCUCUUUCGGGGCAAAUAGUAUCCUAAACUGUCCUGAUCAUCUAGGUGAGCAUUACAGAUAAAUCCUCCAUCCCAUGGUUUUUCAGCUCAGCAUUCUGAGGGAAACAUUUGCCAGAAGUGGUGACCUCCGUGUUCUAAGAAAAUGGAGUGCUUCAACUCUUUGUCCAGUGAGUGAGGCUUGCCUCCAUAGCCUUUAGUUAGUAGCCUAGUUGUGGUUCUUGUUAUUCCCACCAGGUGUUUCUUCAGGCUGUUGGGGACUGGCUCAACAGUUUCCCCACACAAAUCAAAGACAGUUUGAACAUGACUAGUUAAAUGACUGACCGACUUGACUUAAGCCCAUGGCUCCUAUAAGUCAGGGCUUCCCCAAAUACGGUCCUGGGUCUCUGUUGAACAUCACUUUCCUGUCUGACUUUAAGGUUUGAUGCGUCAACUGGAUGGUCAUUGACUGUACUGACGUAGAAGUUGCUACUCCAAGUUAGAUGGAUCUGCAGAAGUAAACCUACUCAGUGUACCGUUCGAUGCACUCCUUCAAGCUACUCCUGGGAGUUGCAACUAAUGUGGUUUUAACAUACUGCAGCGACCUGUAUACAGUAUCUGUGUCAGACAACACUAAAAACAACAACCAUACAGAAAUACACAAGAUAAAUAAUGGGAUCAGUACUUUCCUAUACUUUUCAUAUGAGGACUAGUGCAGUUUUUCCAUAAACUUUUAAUUGAUCACUUUGGAUUUUAUCACUUGACUUAUCAAUUACAAUGGGAAGGAUCAUACAAAUUAAGACUGUGAAUGCAUAUAGCUUUGUGACAGUAGUUCCCAACCUGAGGUACUAGGACCCCUGAAGGUUCUUGGCCUACCCACAGGGGGUACUUGAGAAGACUCAUGAGACCAUAGGCCUAAUGGUAAAAUGCACAUGUGGGCGUACUUUAAGGGUACUCCGGGCAGAGAAAAAAUUCAAUUGGUGAUACUGUAGCCGAAAAAGGUUGGGAACUACUGCUCUAUGACAGACCACUCCUAAAAAGUAAAUUUGAAGAUUUGUCUCUGGAUGUCUCAACAAUAAAUAUGUU